rnacentral:tRNA from 1 species
CACUAAGAAGCUUUUAUAGCACUAGCCUUUUAAGCUAGGGAGGGAGACUUAUACUCCCUUAGUGAAA